GUCUACGGCCAUACCACCCUGAACGCGCCCGAUCUCGUCUGAUCUCGGAAGCUAAGCAGGGUCGGGCCUGGUUAGUACUUGGACGGGAGACCGCCUGGGAAUACCGGGUGCUGUAGGCU
ensembl:rRNA RNA5S9 RNA, 5S ribosomal 9